rnacentral:rRNA from 1 species
CCCUUAGAUGUUCUGGGCAGCACGCGCGCUACAAUGGUCUUCGCAAACGGAUGCAUUCUCGAAGGAGAAUGCCAAUCUUGGAAUCUAUGCCUUGGUCGGGACAGUUGCUUGCAAUUUUUCGACUCGAACCAGGAAUUCCUUGUAAUCGUGAUUCAUCACAUCACGAUGAAUACGUCCCUGCCCUUUGUACACACCGCCCGUCGCUCCUACCGAUCGAAGAGUUAGGUGAAUUGUUUUGAUCGAUAAGAUUUGACUAUGGUCACCUCUCGUUGUGAAAUUCUGUGAAUCUGACUGUUUAGAGGAAGGAAAAGUCGUAACA